rnacentral:rRNA from 1 species
AGAGUUUGAUCCUGGCUCAGGAUGAACUCUAGCGGCAGGCUUAACACAUGCAAGUCGAGGGGCAGCGGGGAGGAAGCUUGCUUUCUCCGCCGGCGACCGGCGCACGGGUGAGUAACACGUAUGCAACCUGCCCCUGUCAGGGGGACAACCCGCCGAAAGGCGGGCUAAACCCGCGUACAUGCCACCGGGGCAUCCCGGAGGCAGGAAAGGCUUCGGCCGGACAGGGAUGGGCAUGCGGCGCAUUAGGCAGUAGGCGGGGUAACGGCCCACCUAACCGACGAUGCGUAGGGGUUCUGAGAGGAAGGUCCCCCACACUGGUACUGAGACACGGACCAGACUCCUACGGGAGGCAGCAGUGAGGAAUAUUGGUCAAUGGUCGGGAGACUGAACCAGCCAAGCCGCGUGAGGGAGGAAGGUACAGAGUAUCGUAAACCUCUUUUGUCAGGGAACAAAGGCGGGGACGUGUCCCCGGAUGAGUGUACCUGAAGAAAAAGCAUCGGCUAACUCCGUGCCAGCAGCCGCGGUAAUACGGAGGAUGCGAGCGUUAUCCGGAUUUAUUGGGUUUAAAGGGUGCGCAGGCGGUCUGUUAAGUCAGCGGUCAAAGCCCGGGGCUCAACCCCGGCCCGCCGUUGAAACUGGCAGUCUCGAGUUGGAGAGAAGUAUGCGGAAUGCGCGGUGUAGCGGUGAAAUGCAAAGAUAUCGCGCAGAACUCCGAUUGCGAAGGCAGCAUGCCGGCUCCACACUGACGCUGAGGCACGAAAGCGUGGGUAUCGAACAGGAUUAGAUACCCUGGUAGUCCACGCAGUAAUCGAUGAAUGCUGGCUGUCCGGGGGGAUUGACCCCUGGGUGGCGAAGCGAAAGCGAUAAGCAUUCCACCUGGGGAGUACGCCGGCAACGGUGAAACUCAAAGGAAUUGACGGGGGCCCGCACAAGCGGAGGAACAUGUGGUUUAAUUCGAUGAUACGCGAGGAACCUUACCCGGGCUCAAACGGGGAGUGACUCAGGCAGAGACGCCUGUUUCCCACGGGACACUCCCCGAGGUGCUGCAUGGUUGUCGUCAGCUCGUGCCGUGAGGUGUCGGCUUAAGUGCCAUAACGAGCGCAACCCCCGCGUGCAGUUGCUAACAGAUAACGCUGAGGACUCUGCACGGACUGCCGGCGCAAGCCGCGAGGAAGGCGGGGAUGACGUCAAAUCGGCACGGCCCUUACGUCCGGGGCGACACACGUGUUACAAUGGGUGGUACAGCGGGAAGCCAGGCGGCGACGCCGAGCGGAACCCGAAAUCCACUCUCAGUUCGGAUCGGAGUCUGCAACCCGACUCCGUGAAGCUGGAUUCGCUAGUAAUCGCGCAUCAGCCAUGGCGCGGUGAAUACGUUCCCGGGCCUUGUACUCACCGCCCGUCA